rnacentral:rRNA from 1 species
UACGGGGGGGGCAAGCGUUGUUCGGAAUUACUGGGCGUAAAGGGCUCGUAGGCGGCCAACUAAGUCGGAUGUGAAAUCCCCAGGCUUAACCUGGGAACUGCAUCCGAUACUGGAUGGCUUGAAUUCGGGAGAGGGAUGCAGAAUUCCAGGUGUAGCGGUGAAAUGCGUAGAUAUCUGGAGGAAUACCGGUGGCGAAGGCGGCAUCCUGGACCGACAUUGACGCUGAGUGAGCGAAAGCUAGGGGAGCAAACAGGG